AUACGAAGGUGGCAAGCGUUACUCGGAAUUACUAGGCAUAAAGGGCAGGUAGGUGGUUUGAUAAGUCUGCUGUGUAAGCUCCCGGCUUAACUGGGAGAGGUCAGCAGAAACUAUUAGACUUGAGUGGUGGAGAGGGAAGCGGAAUUCCUGGUGUAGAGGUGAAAUUCGUAGAUAUCAGGAGGAACACCGGUGGCGAAGGCGGCUUCCUGGACACCUACUGACGCUGAGAUGCGAAAGCGUGGGGAGCAAACAGGAUUAGAAACCCCAGUAGUCC
rnacentral:rRNA from 1 species